rnacentral:rRNA from 1 species
GUAGGGAAUUUUGGACAAUGGGCGCAAGCCUGAUCCAGCAAUGCCGCGUGCAGGAAGAAGGCCUUCGGGUUGUAAACUGCUUUUGUACGGAACGAAACGGUCCUGGCUAAUAUCCGGGGCUAAUGACGGUACCGUAAGAAUAAGCACCGGCUAACUACGUGCCAGCAGCCGCGGUAAUACGUAGGGUGCGAGCGUUAAUCGGAAUUACUGGGCGUAAAGCGUGCGCAGGCGGUGCUGUAAGACAGGCGUGAAAUCCCCGGGCUCAACCUGGGAAUUGCGCUUGUGACUGCAGUGCUGGAGUGCGGCAGAGGGGGAUGGAAUUCCGCGUGUAGCAGUGAAAUGCGUAGAUAUGCGGAGGAACACCGAUGGCGAAGGCAAUCCCCUGGGCCUGCACUGACGCUCAUGCACGAAAGCGUGGGGAGCAAACAGGAUUAGAAACCCUAGUAGUCC